CAUAGUAUUGACAUUGCUGAUCACGAUAUUUCUCCCUUUCAAAAAGUAUCAUGCGACGUUCUCCUAAUGGCGGAGGUCGGCGUUGUGCUAUUAUAGGAGAAGAGUUGAAGGCUUGACUUGAAUCCUUGCUUUGCUGUGCUUGGAAUCUACGUCCAGUUGAAGUAAUUUUUUGAGCUAGUCCACGAUAUCCUGAGUUGUUUCAUUGAGAAUGUUGCUGUUGUUGACCAUAAAAAGCUACUUGAUGUGUGAGUGUUGAUGCCUGAAUGUCUGUGUUGUUGGAAAGCCAAUUUCGCCUUUGAUCAUAACUUUGGAGUUGAGAAACCAACUCAGAAUAGGAUGGUUAUGGAGGUUUUAACAUGGUUGUUGUGAAUGUUUCAUAUUGCGGACCAAAGUUGGUGAGAAGACAGAAUAUCUUUUCUUGGUCCAGAACCGACUUCCCAAUUGCUGCUAAAUUGUCACAGAGACCUUUAAAGGUUCGGAUGUGCUCUGUGAUUGUUAUGCGGUCUUCUUUUCGAAGGUAGGUAAGCUGUUGGCGCAAAGUGAAUUCACGUUCUUGUGAUUCUUGGGCAUAUGCAUUUUUAAGUGCCUCCCAAACUGCAUGUGCUAUAUCAAGACCAACGACGAGGCCGAGAGCUUCCUCAGAGAGUAUUCCAAUGAUCCACCCUCGAAGAAGACGAUCACACUUUCGCCAUGCUAUGAAAUCAUCUGUUAAUUGAGGAUUUGUAUUGUCUGCAUUUAAGGAGUUGUUUGGGUCUGGUCUGACAUAUUUGUUCGGUGCAGGAUCUUCAUUUGUAAGAUGUCCCACUAAUUCUUGGGUUUCAGCAAGAGCCUUGCUCACGCCACAAGGGGUAGUUAUUUGGAGUGAAUAUUAGAGUGAUGAAGUUGCCAACAUUGAGAGAUAGUGUAGCCAUGGUGAGCUGAAGAAAGAGCUGUAGUUUGUUGCAUAAGGUUCACUACUGCUCUGAUACCAAGAAGAAAAAGGAUAAAAAAGAGGAA
rnacentral:lncRNA from 1 species